rnacentral:rRNA from 1 species
AAUGAACGCUGGCGGCAUGCCUAACACAUGCAAGUCGAGCGGAAGCACGAGAAGCCCUCUCCUCUGAUGUUAGCGGCGGACGGAAGAGUAACAAAUGGAUCACCUACCUAUAAGUCAGGGAUAACUACGUGAAACCGGAGCUCAUACCGGCUAAUAUUUUGAACCGCAUGGUGCAAGAGUGAAUGACGGUCUUGCUGUCACUUAUAGAUGGAUCCGCACUGGAUUAGCUAGUUGGUCAGGUAACGGCUUACCAAGGCAACGAUGCGUAGCCGACCUGAGAGGGUGAUCGGCCACACUGGAACUGAGACACGGUCCAGACUCCUACGGGAGGCAGCAGUGGGGAAUUUUCGGCAAUGGGCGAAAGCCUGACGCAGCAAUGCCGCGUGAGUGAAGAAGGUCUUCGGAUCGUAAAACUCUGUUGUUAGGGAAGAAAAUGUAGGUGAGUAACUCUGCACAUCUUGACGGUACCUAAUCAAAAAGCCACGGCUAACUACGUG